rnacentral:rRNA from 1 species
UACGUAGGGUGCGAGCGUUGUCCGGAAUUAUUGGGCGUAAAGGGCUCGUAGGCGGUUUGUCGCGUCGGGGAGUGAAAACCAGGUGCUUAACACCUGGCUUGCUUUCGAUACGGGCAGACUAGAGGUAUGCAGGGGAGAACGGAAUUCCUGGUGUAGCGGUGAAAUGCGCAGAUAUCAGGAGGAACACCGGUGGCGAAGGCGGUUCUCUGGGCAUUACCUGACGCUGAGGAGCGAAAGCGUGGGGAGCAAACAGG